UGAUUGGGGCUACCUCUCUUUGCACUGAAGAAAGAUCUCAUGAACACACUGAAUCUGUGCAUCCUUAAUACCCAGGCCCCUCGCCUGCAGCUGGAGGCAGCUCUCUGCUCAGCCUGCAGGGCAGAGUGACACAGGCAGGCAAGCAACAACUUCUAUUACACUGAGGCAGAGGGUGCAAACCAUUCAGAACCGCGGCAAGGCAUGAGAGAGGCAAAGGGGUAGCUGAGAAGUUUUGGACAAGAACUCUGCAGGCAACUGGAAGCACAGUGUACCCAGGCAAACUGAUCACAGUGGAUCUAGACAAUGAUUCAAGUGGAUUGAAUUACCUAAGCAGGACAAGUCUUUGAAUAAAAAAUCACAAAUGCAAACCGGGAACCCAUUUUGCAAGAAUUUGCCUUUUCAGAACUGAUGCUUUAAAUAUCAGAUGACAUAACUGUUCCCCUAAGUGACUGAGAUUGGCAAGUAUGAGAAUGAAGGUGAAGACAAACUCCAAAUACCUG
rnacentral:lncRNA from 1 species